rnacentral:rRNA from 1 species
GACGGAGGGGGCAAGCGUUGUCCGGACUUACUGGGCGUAAAGCGCACGUAGGCGGUACGGUGCGUCGAUGCUGAAAGCGCCAGGCUUAACCUGGCGAGGCGUGUCGAUACGACCGAACUGGAGGCAGGCAGAGGGUGGCGGAAUUCCGGGUGUAGUGGUGAAAUGCGUAGAUAUCCGGAGGAACGCCGGUGGUGCAUACGGCCACCUGGGCCUGACCUGACGCUGAGGUGCGAAAGCGUGGGGAGCGAACCGG